GGAUUAGAUACCCUGGUAGUCCACGCCGUAAACGAUGAACACUUGGUGUAGGAGGUAUUGACCCCUCCUGUGCCGAAGCUAACGCAUUAAGUGUUCCGCCUGGGGAGUACGGUCGCAAGAUUAAAACUCAAAGAAAUUGACGGGGGCCCGCACAAGCGGUGGAGUAUGUGGUUUAAUUCGAUGCAACGCGAAAAACCUUACCUGGGUUUGGCAUCCUGUGAACGCUGUAGAGAUACAGAAGGCCCGAAAGGGACACAGAGACAGGUGCUGCAUGGCUGUCGUCAGCUCGUGCCG
rnacentral:rRNA from 1 species